rnacentral:rRNA from 1 species
AUUGAACGCUGGCGGCAUGUCUUACACAUGCAAGUCGAACGGUAACAGGUUAAGCUGACGAGUGGCGAACGGGUGAGUAAUGUAUCGGAACGUGCCCAGUCGUGGGGGAUAACUGCUCGAAAGAGCAGCUAAUACCGCAUACGACCUGAGGGUGAAAGCGGGGGAUCGCAAGACCUCGCGCGAUUGGAGCGGCCGAUAUCAGAUUAGGUAGUUGGUGGGGUAAAGGCCUACCAAGCCUACGAUCUGUAGCUGGUCUGAGAAGACGACCAGCCACACUGGGACUGAGACACGGCCCAGACUCCUACGGGAGGCAGCAGUGGGGAAUUUUGGACAAUGGACGCAAGUCUGAUCCAGCCAUGCCGCGUGCGGGAAGAAGGCCUUCGGGUUGUAAACCGCUUUUGUCAGGGAAGAAAAGGUUCUGGUUAAUACCUGGGACUCAUGACGGUACCUGAAGAAUAAGCACCGGCUAACUACGUGCCAGCAGCCGCGGUAAGAC